rnacentral:tRNA from 1 species
GGGCGAGUGGUGAAACUGGCAGACACGCUAGGUUCAGGACCUAGUGCCCGCAAGGGCUUGCGGGUUCAAAUCCCGCCUCGCCCACCA